AUACAGGGCAAUCUGUCUUUAAGUAGGGAUAAAUUACUCAAAAAAAAAAAAAAAAAUCCUAGUUUUCCCUUCAAGUCAAGCAUCUUGG
rnacentral:pre_miRNA from 1 species